rnacentral:rRNA from 1 species
UACAGAGGAGCCAAAGCGUUUGUCCGGAUUGACUGGGGCGUAAAGCGCACGCAGGCGGAUGCGCGCGUGGGGUGUGAAAUCUGGCCGCUUAACGGCCAGGCGCCAUCCCAUACGGCGCGUCUGGAGUGAUGCAGAGGUCGGUGGAAUUGCCGGUGUAGUGGUGAAAUGCGUAGAGAGCGGCAGGAACGCCCAGGGGGAAACCAGCCGACUGGGCA